rnacentral:rRNA from 1 species
UAACAUAUCAAUAAGCGGAGGAAAAGAAACUAACAAGGAUUCCCCUAGUAACUGCGAGUGAAGCGGGAAAAGCUCAAAUUUAAAAUCUGGCAGUCUCUGGCUGUCCGAGUUGUAAUCUAGAGAAGUAAUGCCCGUGCUGGACCGUGUAUAAGUCUCCUGGGAUGGGGCGUCAUAGAGGGUGAGAAUCCCGUCUUUGACACGGACUACCAGUGCAUUGUGGUAUGCUCUCAAAGAGUCGAGUUGUUUGGGAAUGCAGCUCAAAAUGGGUGGUAAAUUCCAUCUAAAGCUAAAUAUUGGCGAGAGACCGAUAGCGAACAAGUACCGUGAGGGAAAGAUGAAAAGAACUUUGGAAAGAGAGUUAAACAGUACGUGAAAUUGCUGAAAGGGAAACGCUUGAAGUCAGUCGCGUUGGCCGGGAAUCAGCCUUGCUUUUGCAUGGUGUACUUUCUGGUUGACGGGUCAGCAUCAAUUUUGACCGCUGGAAAAAGGCCUGGGGAAUGUGGCAGCUUCGGCUGUGUUAUAGCCCCUAGUCACAUACAGUGGUUGGGAUUGAGGAACUCAGCACGCCGCAAGGCCGGGUUUCGACCACGUUCGUGCUUAGGAUGCUGGCAUAAUGGCUUUAAGCGACCCGUCUUGAAACACGGACCAAGGAGUCUAACAUGCCUGCGAGUAUUUGGGUGGAAAACCCAAGUGCGUAAUGAAAGUGAAAGUUGAGAUCCCUGUCGUGGGGAGCAUCGACGCCCGGACCAGAACUUUUGGGACGGAUCCGCGGUGGAGCAUGUAUGUUGGGACCCGAAAGAUGGUGAACUAUGCCUGAAUAGGGUGAAGCCAGAGGAAACUCUGGUGGAGGCUCGUAGCGAUUCUGACGUGCAAAUCGAUCGUCAAAUUUGGGUAUAGGGGCGAAAGACUAAUCGAACCAUCUAGUAGCUGGUUCCUGCC